AACGAACGCUGGCGGCAUGCCUAACACAUGCCAGUCGAACGACACCUUCGGGUCUGGCGUCGCACGGGUGCGUAACGCGUGGGAACCUGCCCUUAGGCUCGGAAUAACUCCCCGAAAGGGGUGCUAAUACCGGAUUAUGUCUUCCGUCCAAAGAUUUAUCGCCUUUGGAUGGGCCCGCGUCGGAUUAGCUUGUUGGUAGGGUAAAAGCCUACCAAGGCGACGAUACAUAGCUGGUCUGAGAGGAGGAUCAGCCACACUGGGACUGAGACACGGCCCAGACUCCUACGGGAGGCAGCAGUGGGGAAUAUUGGACAAUGGGCGGAAGCCUGAUCCAGCAAGGCCGGGUGAGUGAUGAAGGCCUUAGGGUUGUAAAGCUCUUUUACCCGGGAUGAUAAUGACGGUACCGGGAGAAUAAGCUCCGGCUAACUCCGUG
rnacentral:rRNA from 1 species